GAUCAUGGCUCAGGAUGAACGCUAGCGACAGGCUUAACACAUGCAAGUCGAGGGGCAGCGGGGUGUAGCAAUACACCGCCGGCGACCGGCGCACGGGUGAGUAACGCGUAUGCAACUUGCCUAUCAGAGGGGGAUAACCCGGCGAAAGUCGGACUAAUACCGCAUGAAGCAGGGAUCCCGCAUGGGAAUAUUUGCUAAAGGUUUACCGGUGUAAGAUGGGGAUGCGUUCCAUUAGAUAGUAGGCGGGG
rnacentral:rRNA from 1 species